rnacentral:lncRNA from 1 species
UUCAGGACAAAUUUUAUAACGAGGCGCAUCCAUAUUUUUGCAGAUCAAGUGCGGUGGACAGGACCGGCAACAUUCUUUACUUACAUCUUAGAACGACUAACAACGUUGACCAUUUUUUCGUCUAAGUGGCGUACGGUAUAGUUUGAUUACCUUGAUAUAGAUGAGAGUUGCUUAUGAGAGGUGGAAAAGCGGUGAGAGCUGAAACCGUUUUUAGUUGAUUAUAUAUAUAAGAAGAGAAUGUUUGCAGUUUUUUCAUGUUAUCUUCUCAUAAGUUUCACAUUUCUGUAAACAAAGAAGCAGCACAUUUUUGUACAGCUGGUUAACGCUCUUUUGUUUUUAGCGUAUGCAAUUUUGUCGUUCCAAAUAUUUCUGUGUGGAUUUUGAUUAUUCGAUGAAUUUGGUUGUACUUUUUCCCUAGUAUAUUGCAGGAUCAACUUCUUUUUUUCUUCGUAUGUAAACAGCUACAAUAUGUAAAUGAAUGUUUAUUAUACUUAUGGAUAAUUGGUGUGUGAAUGCAUGAACUUUACUCAUUUUUUGGUAUUUAACAUGAACUUUAAAUCCUAAUUAUAAAUACAUGAGCUUUACUCAUUUUUGGUAUUUAACAUAAACUUUAAAAUAUAGUUAUAAAUACAUGAACUUUAAACUUAUUCAAUUUGUGACAUAAUUUUCAACUUAACACUACCUAUAUAUCUUAUAUAGGUUUCAAAUAUGACUAUAAGAUGACGGUAGUGUUUUAGUCAUGGUCUUAUCCUAUCACCCCCUCAAUGCUAAGUUCAAAUCUUGAGCUUAACAUUUUAAAAACAAGGUAAAAGCAUGAUUUAGUAUUUUUCUUUUUUGUAUUUUUUUAAGUUAUGUAUUUAUUUUCUUCUUGUUGGGGAUCCAUUCCCGUUUUAGUCAUGGUCUUAUCCUAUCAACCCCUCAAUGCUAAGUUCAAAUCUUGAGCUUAACAUUUUAAAGCCGAAAUCCUAAAAGCAUUCACAAUAGGGGCUUAUAUCGCUUGAGCCCUGCACCGCUGCUGGGAGGAUAGUGGAUUGAAGUGAGGCANGCCUUUGCGUCGCUGGGCGUAGAAGAGGGUAGAGGAGAGGCGCGUGCAACACCUUAGGGGGGGGGGGGGGGGAUGAGAUGAACCCAACUAUGAGAUGGGGCUCGAUUGCUGCAAAGCCCGUAGCUUGAAGGGAGGGGCCCACCUGCGAACCCGGAAGCUUGGCUCACGGGUGCGUGGAUGUUGAAAUGUUUUAAAGUUUGUUUUCAAGUUCAAUUACAUGAUGAUCUUGUAAAUUGGGCCAAUCUGGCAUGAUGGCCUGUUCAUGGUUGGGUUGGCCUGAGCAUUUUUGCAAUCCAAUUUAAGUUCGGGCCAGGCUAGCCCACUCCUACUCUAUACAUUUAGCCCAACAAAGAGAGAAUGUGACGUAAGGUGGAAUGCCUAUACGAGUAAGAAGUAUCCAAAGGUCUUCUUAUUUGUUCUUCUGUGGAUAGAAUUGGGGAGAAUAUAUAUAAGCUUCAUCUAUAUGUUUGUUUAAUUUGUGGGCAAUUUGCUCAUGAAUACUUUAACCCAAAUUUCACUGGAAUGAUGAGUAACCAUUUUAGAUAAACGAGUUGCCAUUUUUGAAGAAGCGAGAGAGGGUCAAAAAUCUGUUUAGUACAUAUUCGAUUCAUAAAUUUAGAAAAAAGCUUAACUUAAUAGAAUAAUGACAGACCUUAGAUACAACACAAGAGAUUUAUUCAUGGAAGCUUUGCAAGUCCCAAAGUUACCACAAACAAAUUAAAUUAUGACGAGCAUUAACGUUGAGUAAAAAUAAAACUAUUCACAAACACAACCUUGUACAGAAGCUUGGAAUCCCCAUGGCAAAAGCACACUCCAAGUUCAGAACCAAAUUCCCAGUUACUUUCAGUCUCCUUACAUGGUUUGCUUAUGCAACAGUGGAUCAGAAAUGAUUUGGGGUUCGAAAUAGGGCUUCACGUAACGAGCAAGCAAAUCUGCAUAAAUCUCAUAGCGGGCAGUCAUGCGAAAUCCCCACUUGUCCUUCAGUUGCCGGCAGAGGUUGAGAUCCAUGUCCGAUAUCAGCAAGCCAUCCUUGUGACGGGAUAGAGAUGGCGUGCAAGAGGAAUCGGGUGCUGAUAUGUAGCUGGAACCGUAGAAAUGUCCAAAAUCUGUAUGCUGUGGCUUCCCAUCUCCUGAGGUGAAUGGAUUUGGGAAAUGUUCAGUCCCAAUACGAUUGAUCGAACAUACAAAGUAACUGUUGGCUAUGGCUGCAUUACGUGCCUGCAAAAGUACAUACAUGAAUUUAACCGAUCUAGCACUCAAUACAUCUCAAGAAUUGCAAAAGUAAUAUGUUAGUACAAACAAAAAGUGGAAGGGUGAAAGGCUACCUCAAUGGGCCACAUUGGUUCGCUUAGUUCACCGACAGUUGCUGAUGGGUUAAAAACAAUCUCAGCACCAUUUAAGCCGAAAGCUAGCCAGUUAAGAGGGUGAUGUCUUCCAUAACAUAUAUUGACAGCAAUCUUUCCAUAAGCUGUCUCAAACACAGGAUGCCCAGUAUUCCCUUCCAUAUAGUACGUGCUUUCAUUAAAAUCCCCAACUCUAGGUAUGUGAUUCUGCAACGAUUACAUUCAGAGACACGUUCGUGUGAAAACAAUACGUAGACCAAAUGUGUGAUGCAACAUUUUACCUUCCUGUGCUUCCCGAUUAUAUUACCAUGAUUUCCAAUUAUCACGGAAGUGUUCCAGAGUGUCUCCCCAUGGUUCACAUCCCUUUCAAGGAUGGGGCUUACUAUAACCAUAUUGUACCUCCGAGCAAACUCCUGAAGAAAUUUUGUCGAUUCUCCAUCUAUUGGCUCUGCAAACUCACACCAUUUCUUCUCGCGAGUGCAGAAUGCAAAUGGCAUCGUCCAUGCCUCCUGCAUUGAUGGUCUGUAGUUAAUCCCCUAUAGCCAUCCAAAGUUUGUGAUUGUUUAUGGAAAAAUACCUGCAAACAUAAUAUGUUGACUCCAGAAGCGCCUGCAGCUUCAAUGAUCGGUGUCAAUUUCUGAAAUAUGCCCCUUUUCUGAUCAAGAAAUGGUUCUGUAGUUGGAAGAGCUAUAGAAUUCUGAACCAGGCCCACCCUCACAUUGCGAGGUUCUCUCAGUGAUUCAGUAUCAGCACGAAACGAAAAUGCCUGCAUAUAUAUGCAACGAAACAAAUAUCAACCAACUGAUGUUACAAUUACAGCGACACAAAAGCAGUAACUCAUAGUUUCCAUGAUAAUCUCUAAAUAUUCCAUACACAUCCAUUGAUUCAAGAUGAAAGGAAACUAAUAGCAUCUCAAUAAUAUGUGUUUUUUGGCAUCCAAUCAAGUGCAAAACAUCACUCCAUGUUUUCAAGAUAACUAAUUUAGAGGCACACUUCAGUGCAUCCGCCCUAGUUAAAUCCUAAUUGUGACUACUAAACACUAAUUGGGGACUAGUAAACUUUAAUCAGGACCAAUAAACCCUCGUUGGGGAUUAGUGAACCCUAAUUGUAUUUAAUUAGGCGGAUGGUGCAUCCGAGUGUACACAAGUUUCUGCCACUAAAUUUAAAGGCCAUCAGGUAUUCUAUGAUUAACAGACCAUCACUUCAGCAACAAAUUGGUUUGAUUGUGUACUUUGGAAUAGUAGGAUUAAUUGUUAUGAACACAAAUUGAAUGAAAAGAGUGAAAAAUUACUUCUUCAAGUUGACAUCACCGAAAAAAAAUGAGGAAUCACACACGCGCGCACAUACCUGAAGAUCAAAAUCAUGUUCUACAGAAAGGGAUUUGGCAGGCUCGGGAAGAGCAACAGAAUCAAGCGUUCUUCCACAGUUUAGCCCAAUAAGCAAUCGGCUAGCUUCCUGUCGCAACCGAUAGUACCAAUAAAAUUUAUGUAAAUUCCAUCGAACAGUUGAUAUUCAACUCAAAAUCCAACAGAAUUAGGCUCACGAAAAAAUCGGAGGGAUUUGCAAUUAGAAAAAAAAAUAUGGUGUUGAUCUGACCUGAAAAAGGUGAGGAGGAAGGGAGGACUGGAGGAGGCGGUGCAAAGAAUCGAACCCAGCGAUGGAACCGUCUUUUUCGAUUUCAGUUUUGCCGUUUUCUGCAGUGAUUUUGUCCUCCAUUUCUGCUUGUUCUUUGUUGUGGGAUCACAGUGGAGAAGGGUGUUCUUUACUCAAAUCAACAACUUUCCUUUGUUGUUCUUUACAUGGUAUAAGGGUGUUCGAUCUGCCUCAGAUGUCGAGAAAACUGCUCAGUCUGGUAAUCUUCUCUCAGUAGUUUCUUUUUCUCAUUCUCUGAUCAGAGAAAUGGACUGCUUAUAUACAAUUGUAAGGGUUAAUCGCCAAACAAAUCACCAUCUUAGACCCAUAUUUGUAAUUUAGACGCUAGUUUUGAAGCGUUUCUAUAAUGACUACCACUUUUUGAUUUGUAGCAAUUUCAGUCCUCCCAAUCUUCUCAGCGAACUUGGUCGGUGAAACGAUGUCUAUUUCACCGCUGAAACGAGGUCGUUUUGAUGCUUAAAAAAUUGGGGAUGUGGAUAUUGCUACAAAUUAAAAGGUGGAGUCAUUAAUGAAACAUUUCAAAAGUAGCAUAAAUUGCAAAAUGGGUCAAAAGAGGAUAUUUAUUUGACAGUUAACACUAAUUUUAGUGGGUGCAGAACUCAAACACUUUGCUGACAAUUUCUUAUUAGUCUAUACCUAAUAGAAGAUCCAAUAAAAUCAUACAUUUAAUGACAAUCAUUAAAUGCGUCUUAUUAGUAAGCAAUGCUGGUUCGAGUUGGGGAAUAUCUUCGAUAUUUGGCGGAAAUGACAAUCAUACAUCACCUAAAGAGAACUCGACCAGCAAUCCAUUUAAUGAACCUGUUCAAAGCAUGGAACAGAGAAUGUCGAUGAUCCAUUUGAGAGAGGUACUCGGUCAAAGUAUUAUUUCUAGCAAAAUUAAACUAUUAAUAUCUGUAGUAAAAUUUGUAAUAUGUUUUGAUGGAUUAAUUUCUUUUUAAUUUUGUGAAAGCCCCCUAGUGUGUUGAGGUCGUCAGAACCUGACUCAGACGAAAAGACCAUUGAGAUUACUGCUACAAAGUUGUUACUGAGGUCGUAUUAUGAUAUUGUGCGGAAAAGCAUUCAGGAUUACGUACCAAAAGCCAUUAUGCAUUUUCUGGUAAUUGCUUUUCAUUUCUGGGGUUUAUUUUUUUCCUUAGUUUUAGUUUGCGGUGUUGGAGAGAUAUGAUCGGGCAUAGUUGGCCAUACAUAGUGGGAGAAAGGCUUACUUCUUUCUAGUAGUAGUCGUCUACUCCUUUGUUUUGCCCACUUCAUUAAAUUCUUAUGCUUUUAUGAUAUCAACCAAUUAGGACCCUUGAUAUCAAGUGGCUGUCCUGCAUGGAAUGUUAGGAACCAACUUUUGUACUCUUUAUAGCUUAAUGAUCUAUAUUCUUCUAUUCCCAUAUUUUUCAUUUUGGUUUCCUCUCUGAUGCAUGGUUUAGCUCUUUUAGCAGUCUGAAAUUCGGCUGUCCUGUUUGCCAUCCCUAAUGGAAUUUGUUUUAAUCCCUUUUUUCGUUUGAAACUUACAGGUAAACCACACAAAGCGAGAGCUUCAUAAUGAAUUCAUAAAAAGAUUGUACAGGUAUAUUCUAUGGUAACAACUUUUUGUAUCGUUAUGCGAUGAAUAGGGCACCGGAUUUAGAUGAUGAAGAGUAAAAUUUGGACCUUUAUGUUGCAAAUGAAAGAAAAGACAUCUAAAUCAACAUGGUCUAGAAGCUAGGUUGAGUGUCCAGGAUGAUAGUGUUAGUUCAUUUUGUUACCCAUUGAACAAUCCCAUUUAAAAUUUAAUUAGUAGGCUUUGAUGAUUAUCUAGUUCUUUGUAAGUUCACAAAUUAUGCUUGUGUUUUGUAAUUUUGUGAGCAGAGAAAACUUGCUUGAAGAGUUGUUGCGGGAGCCAGAUGAGGUUGCCACGAAGAGAAAGCAGACUCAUGAUACACUUAAGGUCCUAGAGCAAGCUUUCCGGGUUAGUGCUUUAUAUUUUUGAGUUGAUGCUCAUGAAAGUGAAAAUUUAUGCCUUUCCUUGAAAUCGACAUUACCUUGAAUUGCACUUUUGGUUGAACUGAAUUGAUUAUGCAGACAAUUGAUGAACUGCCGCUUGAAGCUGAGACUGUUGAGAGAGGCUACUCCUCGAAUAAUGAUCCAACUGGCCUGCCAAGGAUCAAUGGGCUCCUAAGAUCAUCGUUGUACGACAGUGGUUCAACGGAAUCAUAUAGCCCUUCUUCCAAAAACUCAAGAUCACGAAAGUCUAGCGAGCCUCACUCACCAUUAUACUCUGAUACUUAUUAUGGUGGUGGACAUAGUUGUGGCGCUGGCCUAUAUCCAACCAUUGAUAUAUAAGUCUCCAGUAAUGCUUCAGGACAAAUUUUAUAACGAGGCGCAUCCAUAUUUUUGCAGAUCAAGUGCGGUGGACAGGACAGGCAACAUUCUUUACUUACAUCUUAGAACGACUAACAACGUUGACCAUUUUUUCGUCUAAGUGGCGUACGGUAUAGUUGAUUACCUUGAUAUAGAUGAGAGUUGCUUAUGAGAGCUGAAACCGUUUUUAUUUGAUUAUAUAUAUAAGAAGAGAAUGUUUGCAGUUUUUUCAUGUUAUCUUCUCAUAAGUUUCACAUUUCUGUAAACAAAGAAGCAGCACAUUUUUGUACAGCUGGUUAACGCUCUUUUGUUUUUAGCGUAUGCAAUUUUGUCGUUCCAAAUAUUUCUGUGUGGAUUUUGAUUAUUCGAUGAAUUUGGUUGUACUUUAUAUUGCAGGAUCAACUUCUUUUUUUCUUCGUAUGUAAACAGCUACAAUAUGUAAAUGAAUGUUUAUUAUACUUAUGGAUAAUUGGUGUGUGAAUACAUGAACUUUACUCA